rnacentral:misc_RNA from 1 species
UUUCCGUAGGUGAACCUGCGGAAGGAUCAUUAAUGAGUUGUCAUGGGUUCGAUGCUGGCAGCCAAUUUUUGGAUGCAUGUGCUUGCCCUAACAAUCAUCUUCCAAACACCUGUGCACAUUUUUGAGGGAGUCUUGAGUUGGUUGCCGCUCUUGGGUGAUUUUCUCACAUUCCCUUAAAUCAUUAUACGCUAUUAACAAUGUUGAACGUGCUCUGUGCCGCAAGGCUAUUAAUAUAAUACAACUGUUAACAACGGGUCUCUUGGCUCUCGCAUCGAUGAAGACGCAGC